AGGCAGCAGGCGCGCAAAUUACCCACUCCCGGCACGGGGAGGUAGUGACGAAAAAUAACGAUACGGGACUCAUCCGAGGCCCCGUAAUCGGAAUGAGCACACUUUAAACGCUUUAACGAGUAUCCAUUGGAGGGCAAGUCUGGUGCCAGCAGCCGCGGUAAUUCCAGCUCCAAUAGCGUAUAUUAAAGUUGUUGCGGUUAAAAAGCUCGUAGUUGGACUUGUGUCCCACGCUGUCGGUUCACCGUUCGUCGGUGUUUAACUGGCAUGCCCGUGUGGACGUCCUGCCGGUGGAUGCGGUCGGCCGUGGGCCUCUGGUCUGCGCGUCGGCGGUCCGAUGGAAUCCUACCGCGGUGCUCUUCACCGAGNGUCGAGGUGGGCCGGCACGUUUACUUUGAACAAAUUAGAGUGCUCAAAGCAGGCAGUGGUUCGCCUGAAUAUUGUGUGCAUGGAAUAAUGGAAUAGGACCUCGGUUCUAUUUUGUUGGUUUUCGGAACUUGAGGUAAUGAUUAAUAGGGACAGACGGGGGCAUUCGUAUUGCGACGUNAGAGGUGAAAUUCUUGGAUCGUCGCAAGACGAACCUAAGCGAAAGCAUUUGCCAUGAGUGUUUUCAUUAAUCAAGAACGAAAGUNAGAGGUUCGAAGGCGAUCAGAUACCGCCCUAGUUCUAACCAUAAACGAUGCCAGCUAGCGAUCCGCCGAAGUUCCUCCGAUGACUCGGCGGGCAGCUUCCGGGAAACCAAAGCUUUUGGGUUCCGGGGGAAGUAUGGUUGCAAAGCUGAAACUUAAAGGAAUUGACGGAAGGGCACCACCAGGAGUGGAGCCUGCGGCUUAAUUUGACUCAACACGGGAAACCUCACCANGCCCGGACACCGGANGGAUUGACAGAUUGAGAGCUCUUUCUUGAUUCGGUGGGUGGUGGUGCAUGGCCGUUCUUANUUGGUGGAGCGAUUUGUC
rnacentral:rRNA from 1 species